UUCAAUCCCCCUUUUUUUAAAUUGACCACCGUGACUUCUGACAAUGUUACAAGAGUGCAAUGCUCAAUCGGCAGAGUGCUCUUAUAAGUUCUAGGUUGAAAAACAGUGAACCUCUAAUGAGACACAGUUGUUGUGAAGCUGUUGAAAACCACAUUGCCAUUGUACAGGAGCAUUUCCACCAGUUUAAAUUUCCAUUCAAACCAUGGCUUUUGGAAGUAAUUCGGUGAAAGCUAAGGAACUAAAAUAAACAGUAUCAUUGGGUGGCAAAGGAGUUAAGAGCGCAGACUUUCUAAAUGGCUUCAGAGAAAUACAAAAAAGUCCUUGUAACUUUUCUUGUAACAGAUUAUUUUGCUUUUAAUAUGCUACUGUCACCUGCCAGUAACCUGGUUUAGCAUAAUAAAUUUUAACCUCCUGAGACCCUGCAUGUUAAUAUGAGGACAUUACAUUGUGGGUUUGCUGCACUUUAUACUUCAUUCUGCUUAACUUAGACCUGUUGUCCUCAUUAGUAGACACUCUAGCUUGUCAUCUGGUGGUAGAAAAAGCACAAUACACUAUCAGUGUAAAAACAAGAUGGCGGAGAUCUCCGUCAAAACAUUCUACGGCCAGGACCGAGAUAAAAGUGGAAAAGGGCAUGUUUCUCUGUCAAAAAGGACAUUCUGGAGUAUGGAAAGACAAAGAGAACAUUCCUAGUUUGUAGUGUGGAGAAAGUAACAUUUAUACAGAGUUACAAAACGUUGAACAAAUCAAUUUUAGAUGUGUUGUAUUGUUUCUGAUUUUGUUUUUGCAGAAGCCAUGUUCAGUUUUUUUCAGGAUUUCUACAUUGUUACACACUGGUGACUUUAUUGUGUUAUAUAGUGAAAUAAGUGUUUCGCAUCAUUUCACACAGACCAUUGGUGUGACAGACUGUUCCUACAGACAAAAAGAACAUUCCUAGUUUGGAGUAUGGAAAAGACAAAAAGGACAUAGUUUGUGGUGUUGAGCAAGGAAGAUUUAUACAGAGUUACAAAAUAUUGAACAAAUCACAAGGCUUUUAGAUGUGUUGCAUUGUUUGUGAUAUUGUUUUUGCAAAAGUGUCCAUGUUCAGUCAUUGAAAUAACCAGUUUUAUACUUUGUUAUACACUGGUGAUUUUAUUGUGUUAUACAGUAAAAUAAACCCAUUGACCCCAUAUGAGGACAUCAUUUUUUCAAAAACUACUUCUUACUACUUGUUCAAAGACAAUGCUUAGUUGUUAUACUUAUCAGGUCCUACUAAUCCCAAAUAGCUAGGAUAAAUUAAAAAUGCAUACAAAAUCAAAGCUCGGGAUUUAGGAGGUUAAAAUUAGAAAUUAGAGAUAGAAAUUAUACUAACAAAUGAAUUAUUAAAAUAUAGACUUACUUUUUUGUCUUUUGUGAUUCACAUUAAAAUGUAAUAAGCAUCUUAACUUCCAAACUAAAUGCAAAAAAAAUGCCACAUCAUUAACAUCAAAGUCUCUCAUCUCUCCACAUGAUGCCACUUGUCAAGAGCAGAGCAGCUAAUUAAAAUGAUUAGAGUUAGCUGUUUCCCCUUGGCUGAUAUUUUUAAUGAAAUUUGUUAUUCUAAUCGAGCAAGAGUAACAAAUUUAAUCAAUCCCUUGGAAUUAGCCUUUUACGCAAUUUUCUGUCAGGAGAACAGAAUUGAAAUCUUGCUGUUCAUUUGGUUCAGAUGUGUCCAGCCACCUGCCAGUGGGGCCCAGAGUCUGCAGAGUCCCUUCUCUAUUCAUUCAUGCAGAAUCUGAAGCUGAGCCUUGAUUUUGUUGUGAGAUUUCUCACUUGAAGUACAGUAGUGAUAAAUAAAGUACACUCAAGUACCUUACUAACAAUUUUGAGGUACUUGUACUGUACUUGAGCUUUUCCAUUUCAUUCUGCUGUGUACUUCUCUUUCACUACUUUUCACAGACAAAUACUGUACUUUUUACUUCACUAUAUUUAUUUGACAGCUACAGUUACUUUGAAAAUUAAGAUUUUACAAAUAAAACAUAUGUUGAGUUUAUAAAAUAUGAUACAUUUUUACAGAUUAUAAUACCCAAACAUAUAAAAAAAGAGUUAAAAUUAGCUCCACCUCAACCAGCUGCAAAAUCAAAAUGCUACGUAUACAUGAAUGCAUCAGUAUUAAUAAUCCAAUAAUAUAACAAUAUAAUACAUUUAUGGUAGUAUAAUAAAUUAAUGACUGAGGCCAUUCUGAGUACUUUUAUUUUUGAUACUUUUAAAAUAAAUACAUUUUUCUGAUAA